rnacentral:rRNA from 1 species
CACGGGGGGAGCAAGCGUUGUUCGGAAUUACUGGGCGUAAAGGGCUCGUAGGUGGCCAACUAAGUCAUACGUGAAAUCCCUCGGCUUAACCGGGGAACUGCGUCUGAUACUGGAUGGCUUGAGAUUGGGAGAGGGAUGCGGAAUUCCAGGUGUAGCGGUGAAAUGCGUAGAUAUCUGGAGGAACACCGGUGGCGAAGGCGGCAUCCUGGACCAACACUGACACUGAGGAGCGAAAGCCAGGGGAGCAAACGGG